UGACAGUUCAAUUUUUUGUUCAGGUAAAUUUAUCAGUGAGUGAUAGAUUUCUCUUGGAAGAAAUGAAAAGGUCCCAUAGAAUAAACUACACAGAGAACAAUAGGUAUUGUAUUUAUUAGAUGGGACAACAUAAGUUACAAAAGUUAAAUCGACAGGUAACUUGCAGGUGAAUCUGUAGAAAAAUAUAAUUGGGUUCCCAAUAAUAUUGAGUGUGGAUGAAAGUUGUGUACAUUUUCAGUAAUUUUGCAGACACCUCAACUUACAUCAGAAAGUUCUGACUCUUGUUCUGAUAAUUAAAAUCUGUUGGUUCUAUUUUUAGAUGUAAACGGCUGUGCCUCUAUAUACAACAAGGUAAAUUGCAAAUGGGACUGCACUCUUCUUGAUUGACUAAAAGUAAUCUCUUAAGAGUGAUGAAAAUAAAAAAAAUAUCUCAAUAAACUUUAAAAUUAAACAAGACUUACCAUAUC
rnacentral:lncRNA from 1 species